GAUUUAUUGACUGUCCAACUUCAAAACAAUCUUCCACUAUUGCUGAUUAAGAGGGAGUAACCAUUAAUUCAAAAGGAAAAGCUCUGAAAUUGGGAAGGACAGGGAAGAAGAUUCAAAGCAGGAAGUGGAAGAAGAUGGAGAAGAAAAAGGGAAAGGAUUUCAAGAAAACGCUACUUUGAUCAUCAACAUAUGCAAUUUGAGUUCUAAAGAAUAAACACUGGGGCAUGACAG